GAGUGAUUCCAAGACAUCUUUGGCAGAUCUAGUUCAGAGACACACAAAUAAUCAUGGAUUUAAGAGAUAUGAUGCCUCAGGAUUUUCUGAAAAUCAUGAUUUUGAGGGCUAUCAUACCUCAGGAUUUUCUGGAACAGGUGUUGAUAAUGGCCGAGGGACUGAUGAAAUGAGUAAUGACUCCAAAACAUAUACUGGGAGCCAAGGUCAAGUGCCAUAUGGGAAAUUUUCAGACCAUUCUAUUGCACCACACUCACAAGAAGGAAAAGGUUUUGAUAGCAGUUAUAGUCAAUCUACUCCAUUCCAGUCAACGGAAAAAAACAGUUUUUUGAAGGAUAAUGCAUUUAGCUCAACUCAAAAUUCUAGUGUAUAUGGUAGAGAUGUGCAAACAUUUGAAUCAAUUGGUUUCAGUUCAGAUAUUAGGAGCUCCACAAAUCUUGUUCAACUAUUUCCAGGAACAUCUGAACCUAACCCUAGGAGAUCUCGACCAUCCUUCCUUGAUUCACUUAUUGUUCCUAGAGCUCCUUCAACUUUCCAAAGUACUGAACCACAAAAUCAGGACAUAAAAUCAGAUGGCAUGGAUGAUCUAGGAUCAUCUGCUUUCCAGAAGCCAUCAGGACAGAAUGAAAAUGUGGGACAGCAUUUGGUGAAAUUUUCUGU
rnacentral:misc_RNA from 1 species